rnacentral:sRNA from 1 species
CGGCCUAGGAGGGACUUCCUCCUCUUUCGGCCCCGCCUCCUGGCUCGGGAAUCUCUGUUGGGCGGGGAAGUCUCGCGAGCUUUCCUCCCUGCUCCGCGAGAAAUUGUCUGUAGAAGGUUGAUGGAGCAGUGGUGUUUGUUGCUGAACUGUUUUCCGGAUUUGUAGGGCGGAUGUUGAAUGGCGGGUUGUCAACUCUGGACUUGCUGUCAACUGACCAGAGCCAGGCUGGGAAGUCCGAAUGCGUGGACAGGUCUAGGGCGAAGCCAAGUGUAGGGACUCAUUCUGUCAGCCCGAAAAGGGCUGGGGGCGGGGGUUGAGGGUGUUUGAGUCUUAUGUGAAGUCGAGCCCCUCACCCAUUAAAAUCCGUUAUAGAAUCUGCGAGACUUCAUCCGGGAAAGUGUUCCAUGGCCACGGUGAGCAGUGGGCGAUCUUAAUGUUCCACAAACGCGUUGACAGUUCUUAUUUCCCGCCAAAGCGUUCUUCCGUUAGCCUCUUAGCACGGACCAUUAAAAGGCUCGGAGAGAAACCGGCCGCAGCGACGAGGCAAGCGCAGGCGGGCAGCCUCACAGUCCUCGUGUGCCGCAAGAACGAAGGGUUCCUGGCGUUCAGUUAACGUCGCUCGCCCGAAGGCCGUGGCUCCCAGUGUAGUUCAGCUGCCUCUCCGUUCUCUUAUUUGGUCCCUCAGCUCAACCACUUGAAAGAUGAACAUGGGGAAGGAUCAAGAAAGUAUAAAGGAUCAAGAAAAUUAGCCUGGUCUGCAGCCAUUCAUCUGUAAAGACUGCACAUAGAAAAACAGACAGGAGCAUCUCUUUGAGGACCAGGCCAGCCUAUGGAUCCUGCUGAGGACAGAAGAGGUUGCCGGUUCCCUUGGAACUGCAGUUUACUGGUAGUUGCCAUAAACUACCACUGUAAGCCACCACAUGGGUGCUGGGAACCCAGUCCUAACUGCUGAGCCAUCUCUCCAGCCCAUUUCUAAGUUUUGACUGCUGUUUGCCAAACUAUGGACAUUACAUACAUUGAAUCUUAUGCUCGAGGUUUUGAAAUCGUUUUGCUCAUUGUCUGCAAUAUUUCCCUCUUUGCCACUAGAAGAAAAAGCAACACAAUAAAAAUUGUAACUCCAUCAAUACUAGAGAUUGCACAUAGACCUCAUGCAUGGUGUGCAAACACUCUACCACUGAACUAUACCCUCAACCACUGGAAUGUCUUCUUACAGAACCCUGAUUAUUCUGGAAUGUAGACCAAGCCAACAUGGAAGAAUCAGAGAACCUCCUGCCUUUGUCUCCUGGGUGUUGGGAUUAAAAAUAUGUGUGCCACAAGGCCUGGCUGCUGCUUCAUUUUUUGACUCAGGAAUUUUAAAGAGUAUUUUUAGAUUUUCAAAUGACAGGCUAUAGGACUAGCACCUUAAGAUUCUGAUGCAAAUGAGAGAGGAACAUUGUACAUUAAUUCUUUCCUAGGUGCCUACUCAAGCAAAGUGUUAACUAUACUUCUAGAAGAUAAUGUGACCAUCACCUCAUGAUCUAGCAUUAUAAAUUUAAGAUAAAGCUGAGGAACUAUGAGAAUAACUGAGUUUUUCAAGAUCUUACCACUGAAAUUUGAAAAUAAAUCUGUAUUUAAAAAACAAAUCUUUAAUAUCUUUA